rnacentral:rRNA from 1 species
GGUGAGGUUGGUGUUAUUAGAAGAUAGAUGAUUAGUAGAUUGUGAGAACUGUUGUUGGAUUCUAUAGUGUAAUAGUACUGUGUAGGAAAUUUUGUUAUUAUUUGAUAAUAUUAGGCUUUUUAGUACCUUUUGUAUUAGGGUUGAUUAAUUUGAAUGGACGUUAGGUGAAUUCUCGAUGAAUUUCGGGCUAUUUUCUUUUUUUUAUUCUCGUUGUAUAGAGUUGGAUAGGAGAUUAUAGGUAUGAAAUAUUAUUCAAGUUGUUUUUUAUCUGGUUCUCUAAGAAGUUUAAUGAUUAGUGGGGACAUGAGAGCAGUAUGCAGGGAUUAGCUUGUUUAUUGUUUAUAUAAAGUAGGUUGGUUUUGUCGUAGGUUAAGUUGAUAGUGCUUGUUUUUAUGGAGUUAUUAUUGGACGAGAUGGAGAAAUUAUUUGUUUCUUUUGUGUGGGGAUUAGGGUUACUGUAUUUAUUUAUAAUAUGGGGAAAUAAUGAUUAUAUUAGUAAUAUUGUUUUUAUUAGAUCUUUGAUUGGGUAAUAUGGUUUAAGAUUAGGUUGAAGUAAAAAUUAGGAUUGAUGAAUUAGGCAAAUUUAAUUUCUGACUGUUUAGCAAAGACAUUGUUUUUUGUAGGGAUAAAAAAUAAUUUCUGUCCACUGCUAUUAGGUGAAGGGCUGCAGUAUUUUGACUGUAUGAAGGUAGCAUAAUCAUUAGCCUCUUAAUUGGGGGCUGGUAUGAAGGUGAAACAGGGGUUUGCUGUUUUUUUCCUAUUUGUUGAAUUUUAUUUUUGUGUGAAAAAUCGUAAUUGGGUUAAUGGGACAAGAAGACCCUAAUAAGUUUUAUCUUUUUGAUUGAUGCGUGUAUAGGGUAGAUUAGUGCAAUUUAAUUUAAUGGGUUUGGCUGGGGCGGCUAUUUAUUUAACGUAAAUUAAUUUUUAAUUUUUGUAGCGGGGGUUUGGACCUAGGGUGGUUAUAUAAGUGUGAAACUACUGUAGGGAUAACAGCGUAAUUUUGCUUGAGAGUUCUAAUUGACAGCAAA